rnacentral:rRNA from 1 species
AUUGAACGCUGGCGGCAGGCCUAACACAUGCAAGUCGAGCGAGCGCCGCACGGGGGAGUAAUGUCUGGGGAGCUGCCUGCUGGAGGGGGAUAAAUCCUCGAAACAGUAUCUAAUACCGCAUCCCAUCACCGGUGCCCAGAUGGGAGUAGCUCGUAGGUGGGGUAACGGCGCACCUAGGCGACGAUCCCUAUCUGGUCUGAGAGGAUGACCAGCAACACUGGAACUGAGACACGGUCCAGACUCCUACGGGAGGCAGCAGUGGGGAAUAUUGCACAAUGGGCGCAAGCCUGAUGCAGCCAUGCCGCGUGUGUGAAGAAGGUCUUCGGGUUGUAAAGCACUUUCAGCGGGGAGGCGUUACCCGCAGAAGAAGCACCGGCUAACUCCGUGCCAGCCGCCGCGGUAAUAC